UACGGAGGGUGCAAGCGUUAAUCGGAAUUACUGGGCGUAAAGCGUGCGCAGGCGGUUUGUUAAGUCCGUUGUGAAAGCCCCGAGCUCAACUUGGGAAUUGCGGUGGAUACUGGCAGGCUGGAGUACGGUAGAGGAAGGUGGAAUUCCCGGUGUAGCAGUGAAAUGCGUAGAUAUCGGGAGGAACACCAGUGGCGAAGGCGGCCUUCUGGACCAGUACUGACGCUGAGUGAGCGAAAGCCAGGGGAGCAAACGGG
rnacentral:rRNA from 1 species